rnacentral:rRNA from 1 species
GAUGAACGCUGGCGGCGUGCCUAAUACAUGCAAGUCGAGCGAACAGACGAGGAGCUUGCUCCUCUGACGUUAGCGGCGGACGGGUGAGUAACACGUGGAUAACCUACCUAUAAGACUGGGAUAACUUCGGGAAACCGGAGCUAAUACCGGAUAAUAUAUUGAACCGCAUGGUUCAAUAGUGAAAGACGGUUUUGCUGUCACUUAUAGAUGGAUCCGCGCCGCAUUAGCUAGUUGGUAAGGUAACGGCUUACCAAGGCGACGAUGCGUAGCCGACCUGAGAGGGUGAUCGGCCACACUUGAACUGAGACUCGGUCCAGACUCCUACGGGAGGCAGCAGUAGGAAUCUUCCGCAAUGGGCGAAAGCCUGACGGAGCAACGCCGCGUGAGUGAUGAAGGUCUUCGGAUCGUAAAACUCUGUUAUUAGGGAAGAACAAAUGUGUAAGUAACUAUGCACGUCUUGACGGUACCUAAUCAGAAAGCCACGGCUAACUACGUG